rnacentral:lncRNA from 1 species
UGGGACUACUGGCUUUUGAGGACAGUUUGUUAUUUGGUAUUGUGAGAAGUCCUUCAGGUCGUUCAAACAAUUCUAGUUUUAAUACUGGAAACCCAUUAUAGCUGUAUUGCAGAGGGUGCUCUUCGCCAUUUGGCAGAUGAGGGAUCUCUGGUGGUGUAAUGAAAACUGUAUGUUCACUCUUGUAUGACUCAUCCAGCUCUAUAAGCCGUGUUUCCC